UACGGAGGAUCCUAGUGUUAUCCGGAUUUAUUGGGUUUAAAGGGUGCGUAGGCGGCCAUUUAAGUCAGCGGUGAAAUUUCGCAGCUUAACUGUAACAGUGCCGUUGAUACUGUUUGGCUAGGAUUUGGUUGUAGUGUGCGGAAUGUGUGGUGUAGCGGUGAAAUGCUUAGAUAUCACACAGAACACCGAUUGCGAAGGCAGCACACUAAGUCAUUAUUGACGCUGAGGCACGAAAGUGUGGGGAUAAAACAGGAUUAGAUA
rnacentral:rRNA from 1 species